rnacentral:rRNA from 1 species
GCAGCGCAUACCUCGUGUCGUUAACCCGGCACGAGGGGUGUUGCGUUUCGGAGGGUCCAGCACGCGCCGUGCCAUACCGUCUAAGUUAAGCUUGAAAUUUGCCACUAUCCACGGAGGGUGUGAGGCCCGUGUGGCGGCGCCCGCGAGGGUCUUCAUGGCACGGUCGGAAAGGGCCUCUCCGUAGAGUCGGGUUGCUUAAUAGUGCAGCCCAAAGCAGGUGGUAAACUCCAUCUAAGGCUAAAUAUGACCACGAGACCGAUAGCGAACAAGUACCGUGAGGGAAAGUUGAAAAGAACUUUGAAGAGAGAGUUCAAGAGUACGUGAAACCGUUAACAGCCAAACGGAUGGAACCGCGAAGGUCGAACCGAGGGGAUUCAGCUCGUCGGCUGUCAGGAGGGUGCGAGCGUUCGUUGAGUCGUAGCGACCCGAGGAAACUCGGGCGUGCUCGCACCCACGCUGGCGUCGGCGGGCGCAUUUUCCCUCGUAGUAGGGCGCCGCGACCCGUUGCUGGGAACGUCAAUGGCUCCUAAGGCGUAUUGGUACCCUACCUUCGUCGAUAAGCCUUCUACCAUGCUAAUCCACCUUGGGUUCUGGCGGUGUAGGCGUCGUCGGUUUCGGCGCGAGGUAGGCGAAACUGCCGUUGGUCCUGGCUGUUCCUGCAACGGUCGUAGAGACGAGCUACUACUGUCCCCUUUACCGGGGAGGUGGUUGUUGUUGCUCUCGCGGCGUGCAAAAAGAUCGGUGAUCCAUCCGACCCGUCUUGAAACACGGACCAAGGAGUCUAACAUGUGUGCGAGUCAUUGGGCAGACUAAACCCAAAGGCGUAAUGAAAGUGAAUGAUCUUUAGUACGGCGUGCGUGUCGGUCAAUGACGCGGGCGUCGGAAAUAAAAAAGAGCAGGGCCGAUCCACCGCCUACCCCUCCUCCUUAGGCAAUGGCAAGUGAGUUGUUUUCCCUGUCACGGGCCGACGGGGGCUGGGGAGAGCGUAGUAGGCGCAGGCCCGGGACUUGCCGCCCAGAUGCCGUGCGAGGACCAUAGCCCUAAAGGGCUAUGGCACGUGCGAUGCGUCGGCAGCAAGUACCACGAGCAGUCAUGUUGGUACCCGAAAGAUGGUGAACUAUGCCUGGCCAGGAUGAAGCCAGAGGAAACUCUGGUGGAGGUCCGCAGCGAUUCUGACGUGCAAAUCGAUCGUCUGAGCUGGGUAUAGGGGCGAAAGACUAAUCGAAUCAUCUAGUAGCUGGUUCCCUCUGAAGUUUCCCUCAGGAUAGCUGGUACUCGCUAGGAAGAGUUUCUUCCUGUAAAGCGAAUGAUUAGAGGUCUUGGGGACGAAACGUCCUCAACCUAUUCUCAAACUUUAAAUGGAUGAGAUGCCGAGCUUGCUUGAAUGCUGAAGCUUCGGCGGUUAAUACGAGUAUCUAGUGGGCCAUUUUUUGGUAAGCAGAACUGGCGCUGUGGGAUGAACCAAACGUCGAGGUAAGGGGCCUAAAUGAAUGCUCAUUCAGAUCCCAUCGAAAGGUGUUGGUUGCUAUAGACAGCAGGACGGUGGCCAUGGAAGUUGGAAUCCGCUAAGGAGUGUGUAACAACUCACCUGCCGAAGCAACUAGCCCUUAAAAUGGUAUGGCGCUGAAGCAUUCUCCCGAUACUCGACCGCCGGGUGCACUAGCGGCCACGUCCCAGUGGCGUGGUCUCGAAGUCCCGGUGAGUAAGAGGGUCGCAGUGGUGAGCGCUGAAGGGAUCCGGCGUGAGCCGGCCUGGAGCUUCCACUGGUGCAGAUCUUGGUGGUAGUAGCAAAUACUCGAGAGAGACUCCCUUGAAGACCGAUGUGGAGAAGGGUUCCAUGUGAACAUCAGUUGGACAUGGGUUAGUCGCUCCUAAGCCCAAGGCUAAGGCCUGAUCCUACGCCAGCGGCGACUGCAUUGUUAGCCAAAGGAGGAGGAGCAGCAGCACCAGCACGACGAGAGAAAUCUCAUCAUCCGCUGUUUGUUGUUGCCCGGGAUUUGUGGCGAAAGGGAAUACGGUACUUAUUCCGUAACCUGGUGUCGGAUAAAAAGAAAGCAGGCAGGCUCUAGCGGAACAGCAAGCGAGCUCCUCCCGAAAGGGAAUCUCGCUAUGGCUGCUGAUGCUGAUGCUGCUGCCCUGCAUUGAGGACCCCGGUGACGGGAACCAGCUCGCGUCCAUCGGCGGUGGUCCGGGAAAGAGUUUUCUUUUCUGUUUAAGGCGCCGUGACCCUAGAAAUCACCCGCAGGGAGAAAGGGAAUUGGUAACACGGUUAGCCGUAGAGCGCCGCGGGUCUUGCGGCGUCCCGCGUGCCACCGCCGGUCCGUGAAAACGCGAGGGAGGUAACUCUGGCUGUAUCUCUGGUCUUAUUGGGUUUCGGGAUAUCCCUGGCCAAACAAAGAGACAAGAAAGCCAAAUUUCGCACCAGUGCGUACCCAUAUCCGCAGCAGGUCUCCAAGGUGAGCAGCCU